rnacentral:rRNA from 1 species
AUUGAACGCUGGCGGCAGGCUUAACACAUGCAAGUCGAACGAGUGGCGGACGGGUGAGUAAUGCUUGGGAAUCUAGCUUAUGGAGGGGGAUAACUACGGGAAACUGUAGAUAAUACCGCAUACCAUAAGAUGAGCCCAAGUGGGAUUAGGUAGUUGGUGGGGUAAAGGCUCACCAAGCCGACGAUCCCUAGCUGGUCUGAGAGGAUGACCAGCCACACUGGAACUGAGACACGGCCCAGACUCCUACGGGAGGCAGCAGUGGGGAAUAUUGCACAAUGGGCGCAAGCCUGAUGCAGCCAUGCCGCGUGUAUGAAGAAGGCCUUCGGGUUGUAAAGUACUUUCAGCGGGGAGGCGUUACCCGCAGAAGAAGCACCGGCUAACUCCGUGCCAGCCGCCGCGGUAAUUC